rnacentral:rRNA from 1 species
GUUUCAGCAGCCGCGGUAAUACGUAGGGUGCGAGCGUUAUCCGGAAUUAUUGGGCGUAAAGAGCUCGUAGGCGGUUUGUCGCGUCUGUCGUGAAAGUCCGGGGCUUAACCCCGGAUCUGCGGUGGGUACGGGCAGACUAGAGUGCAGUAGGGGAGACUGGAAUUCCUGGUGUAGCGGUGGAAUGCGCAGAUAUCAGGAGGAACACCGAUGGCGAAGGCAGGUCUCUGGGCUGUAACUGACGCUGAGGAGCGAAAGCAUGGGGAGCGAACAGGAUUAGAUACCCUGGUAGUCCAUGCCGUAAACGUUGGGCACUAGGUGUGGGGACCAUUCCACGGUUUCCGCGCCGCAGCUAACGCAUUAAGUGCCCCGCCUGGGGAGUACGGCCGCAAGGCUAAAACUCAAAGGAAUUGACGGGGGCCCGCACAAGCGGCGGAGCAUGCGGAUUAAUUCGAUGCAACGCGAAGAACCUUACCAAGGCUUGACAUGUUCUCGAUCGCCGUAGAGAUACGGUUUCCCCUUUGGGGCGGGUUCACAGGUGGUGCAUGGUUGUCGUCAGCUCGUGUCGUGAGAUGUUGGGUUAAGUCCCGCAACGAGCGCAACCCUCGUUCCAUGUUGCCAGCACGUCGUGGUGGGGACUCAUGGGAGACUGCCGGGGUCAACUCGGAGGAAGGUGAGGACGACGUCAAAUCAUCAUGCCCCUUAUGUCUUGGGCUUCACGCAUGCUACAAUGGCCGGUACAAUGGGUUGCGAUACUGUGAGGUGGAGCUAAUCCCAAAAAGCCGGUCUCAGUUCGGAUUGGGGUCUGCAACUCGACCCCAUGAAGUCGGAGUCGCUAGUAAUCGCAGAUCAGCAACGCUGCGGUGAAUACGUUCCCGGGCCUUGUACACACCGCCCGUCAAAC